rnacentral:rRNA from 1 species
GGGUGCGAUCAUACCAGCACUAAUGCACCGGAUCCCAUCAGAACUCCGCAGUUAAGCAUGCUUGGGCGAGAGUAGUACUAGGAUGGGUGACCUCCUGGGAAGUCCUCGUGUUGCACCCC